UUGUGACUCUUUCCUGCACACAAGCUUCCUGCCGAUGUCAAAAGGUCACAGUUCAAAGGUGAUGGAAGCUUGAUCCAAUUACAGGCUUGUCAUAUACUGCACAUGAUCCACCUGUGCCAUUUGCUACUCAAAGGCAAUGUGGGGAACCGUCUGGAAUGUAACACUGGAAUGUCACAUUUCAGGGUGAAACAGCGGGAGUGAAAGACGACCCGACAUCAUCUUAUGUGCGUGAGAGCCAAGAAGAGGAUGAAGGAGGAGGAGGAGGAGGAGGAGGAGGAAAUGGAGCGUCCAAGGGCAAGAAGGAGAACAUUCCAAAGUGGUGAAGGAGACAUCGGAGCAGAUAUUUCCGCUGCGGAUGAGUUAACGACCCUCCCUGACUGAGUCAUCCUGACAUGUUCAGUUCCAAAAUCCGAUAUCCCAGACUUUUUGGGAAAGUGGGUGGGGCCUGACAGCUGCAAUGAUGGCCGCUUUCCAUAUCUCUCAUCUGCGCGUCCAUCUCCUCCUCAUCCCCGCUCUCCUCUGCCUCUCCCAAAACACAUGGUUCCCACAGCCUGCGGAGGUUAGCACCCACUGGAGAGCCGCAACGCCGCAUGUACACAACACCGCAAAUGUGUUCUUACCGUUCUCCCAAACCGCCGCCAUCGCUCAUAAGUCUGACAAGGUGCUCAGCAGGGGAUCGCAAGCUACUCUUGUCGCGCACCAACCAAUGGACUGCUCUUUUCCACUGUUGCGUUUCACUGAAAGUUCUGGGAUUGGAUUUAAAUGGGCGCAGGUGAACCUAAUAAAGUGACCGCUGUGCGUAUUUCAUCUCAAAAUCAAUUUUAAGCAUAUUUGGAGUUUUCAAGUGUAUUAGCGGCAAGCGUCACUUAUUGAGUUGCCUCGACGGUAACUGUGACAAAUGAGCUACAGCAAGCAAAGGUCAACACAUCAUAAAGCGUUGUUUUUUUCUUUUUUGUUGUUGUUUUUUUAUCAGCUGGGCCUGACAUUAUCAAGACGAGCUCCAUUUGCUUUUCAUUGAUCUCAUACAACAGGUCACAUGUGGGUUGAGAUCAACGCUUAUGUUGACUUCCUCGCGCCUGGGUCUCUUUUAAAAUACAACCAACGUGGUACAAGCAACCCUACGACAAUCAUCACGACCAGCAUCAGUUAUGCAAAUGUAAUUAGUUUGCGAGGAAUAUGAAAUGGCAGCACAGGGUGCUCGUGGAAAUUUAUCACCGAAACCGCGUGCCAUCUAAACAUUCAAUUAAAAUGUUGGAUUUCAUCGAGUUUAAUCUGGAGGUGAUAAAUUAAACUGCAGGCGGGAUCAGUGCUGAUUCUGUUGAUAAUAUAGAGGAACGGGAGGGUGUCCCAAAGUUAGCCUGCUUGGUAGAGCUGAGAUUUUGCUCUCGCUAAAAUACCUUGUAUGACAUAUA